AGGCCUGCCCAGUGGGGGUCACCCUAAACGGCCGCAGAAUUUUAACUGUGCUAAGGUAGCAUAAUCACUUGUCUUUUAAUUGAGGACUUGCAUGAACGGCUUAACGAAAUAUAACUCUAUCAAAUAUAUUAAAUAAAAUUUAAUUUUAAAGUUAAAAAGCUUUAAUCUAAUAAAAAGACAAAAAGACCCUAUAGAGUUUAAUUUUAAUAUUUAUCUAUAAACUAAUAAAAUUUGGUUGGGGCAACCAAGAGAAACUAAAUUUCUCUAUAAAAAAACUAUAUAAUCUAUCAUUUAUUUAAUAACACAAAAUAAAUUACCUUAGGGAUAACAGCAUAACUUUCUUUGAGAGUUCAAAUCGAAAAGAAAAAUUAUGACCUCGAUGUUGGAUUAAA
rnacentral:rRNA from 1 species